GUUUAGCCCUUCCGAUAGCAAUCGGGAUACUCGGCAUCCUUUUGUUUGCAGCAACAAACGUAAACAUAUAGCGGAUAGCGGGACAUUUU
rnacentral:misc_RNA from 1 species